AUCUAGAUGAUGAGUCUCAAUAGGACGAAAUGCGCAUCCUGGAC
rnacentral:hammerhead_ribozyme from 1 species